rnacentral:tRNA from 1 species
GGUCCACCCUGCAUGACGGGGAUGUGACCAUUCAGGAUGGUGUGACGGAUCGGAUGGUGCCGUUGCCGCGGAUCUUCCCCACGGAUGGGCUG